rnacentral:lncRNA from 1 species
UUACAUUUCCUCACAUUUUCAAAUUUCAGUAACCACUUGACAAGACUAUCCGCCCGGCUCAGUCUUGCCAUCUCACAUACUCGGGUAGCUAUCCGUCCGGCUCAGCUUUCCCGAUCACACAAUAUCCAUACAAGAUUCAUCAAUCCUUAAUCACAAUCAAUUCACUUCACAACACAUCACAAUCAAUUCACUUCACAACACAUCACAACAAGCCAAAAACAUAACUAAUAUCAACUCAGUCAACCAAGAAAUUAUCAAGUAAUCAAACAGCAGUUCCUACUCAAUAUACACAAAGUUUAGUCUAUUAAAUACUUACCAAAAUUUAUAGUAUAACAAAAUAAUCCUAUUCUUUUUCUCUUACAACUUCCUUUCCUUUGG